UGUUGCUUUCUCCUGUUCUUGAAUCUGCUUUACCAGGCUUUGUUGUGGGAUGGAUGGUCACAAUCCCACGUUUGUACAUCUGCUACGGCAGGCUGUUGAGCUGUUACUUUGUGCCUCCUGGAAGACCAUUGUUUACCCUUCUUUAUGUUCUUUUAUAUGAUUUCAUUUUAUCUCAACGACAUCCUUGACCUCUGGUCAACCAGGCAACAGUGAGCUGAAAUGCUGUUAUCGAGAAAAUACACAAUCAAGAUAUCCUGAAGCCAAAAAGAAGGGAAAAAACAAAAAAAACAAUUCAAGAGAAAUUCAUUUGAGAAUACAUGUUAUUCUAAUUACACUGACUAAAUCUGACAAAAGUUAUAAUGACCAAAUUAGACUUCAAUAUGGCCAUCUUGUAUAAUAGUUCCAUGUUAACGAGAAAAUGAACACUGCCAUGCACACACUAUAUUCUCGUUACUUUUACUGUUAUCCUUACAUAUGCAUUUAUUGGAUCUAAUGCUUACCUUGUCUUAAAGCAGCAAAUACAGCAAUCAAAGGUUAUGAGCAAUGACAGAAAAAAGACCGUGCUCCCAAACACUGCAACGUAUACAAAUGAAGAAAUCACAGGGAAACAGGUUUCCAGACAGGCAAAAGAACAUAUUUGCCAGGAUCUAAUGAGAGCUUUUGCUCCUAAACACAUUGCAACUGUCUAAAAACACCACACAACCUCUAGGUGCUUCUAGGUUUCAAUCUCUUUCAGCACCUCCCACCUUUUUUUCCCAGGGGAAGAUAAUUCAAAUCUUUUGGUCAUCAAACUCAAGUUAUAAAAGCUUUUCAAACAGCUAGCUAUUGUUCACCUUCCCUAAGCCUAAUCAUGACAUUUGCUGUUCUUUCAUAUGCUUUUAUUAGAUCUAAUGCUUGUCUUAAACCGCAUCUACAGCAGCCAAAGGUUGCCAGUUAUGAUGGAAAAUAGAUGAUACUCCAGAACACUGCAACAUACAGAAAUAAAGAGAACACAGGAAACAGAAUUCCAUACAGGCAAACAUCAUGAUGAAACAUCAAGCUAAAGAGUAAAGAGCUCCACUAUAAGGGAUCCAAACACAAAACCCGUGGACUAUGGCAAUCAUAGUGCAGUAUCUUAUCCAAAAAUUAGUCCCGUAUGCUCUGAAAACCCAUCCUCUAUCACAUCCAGAAAGACAACUCCGGUUCAUCUUAGCUUAUAAAAACAAAACGAAAAUCCUGGUAGUCAUUUUAAAUUCUUGAACAUGCAGCGAGUUGCUUUAAAGAAAUAAACCUUAAAUUUAGUGAUUGCAAAAGCGAACAUGGAUGCAGAAUCAGCCAAACAGAAAAAAAAAAAAUGAAUCAGAAACUGCACAAUAAAAAUUUUGCAUGCCUCAAAGGCUGUAUUGCACAUGGUCUAAGCUUAAAAUUUUAAAUUAGCUCCCUUAAUAGUUUACCUCAAAGGGCUGUAUUGCACCUCUGCCCAACAUGUAUACAUGCUACUUCUAGAUCACUCAUUAAUAAACUCCAAAUUAUUGAAUCUUCCAUAAUACUGCCAUCUCAAAAUUGUGGUCACCACCAACCCUCUCAGAUCUUCUAUGGGUUCUUGCAACAUGCAUCCAAUGGAAACUUUCUUCCCUCCUAGAUAUCUCACGUUAAUACACUAUCUCAUCCAGAACCGAAUUCCAAUUUGCUGAAUAACCUACGUUAAUUCCUCCACCAUAUCAAGUUACCAACUCAAUGAUUAGCAUUUAACUUACUUUCUCUUCACAUCCAAAUUAGGAACUUAUAAAAACUCAUCAAGCAGUACAAAAGAAUCAAAUAGCAAGAAAGAUUUCUAAAAGUCCUUGCAACUAUCACAACCCCACUUCUGAUAUAUUUCUUCCUCGGACUUUGUAAUCAUUUCAAGCUCCAUAGAUCCUGGUUAUUUCCAUUUAGUAUUUUUGAUAUUGCAACAUCAACUCUGUUCUUAAUUCUAUCCAUCUUUUCCACUCAAGCUCAGAAGCAGCAUCGAUGAUGCUCAAGUCACAUGUUCAAAAAGGAAAAGUAUUAAAUCACAAAUGCUAAAGAAUAUAUAGAAUUGCCACAAAAUGAAUUCAAAACACUGAAUUAUUAGGCAAUGCAAAUAGGUCAGGUCAAGCUAAAACCUUAUCUAUACUUGUACAAAUUAGUUUGUACACCCACAAUCAGGACCAUUUGCGGAACUACAUGGUUUAGAAACAGGCCAUUCAGGGUGAAAGAAAUUAAAUAAUACAUAUCUUAUUCUGCUUUCCCAAUUUAGGGUUGAUGCUGUAGAAGUUGGGUCUAGGAGGAGUACAAAUCCAUUAGAGUUAGCUACAAAAUGUUUCCUAUUUUCUUUUAGGGCCUAUUUGGUUGGGGGUAAUCUGGCAUGGGAAAAUGAAUCCCAUGUCAGAUUACCAUGUUUGGUAUAAAAAAAGGAAAGCGAGAGAUAGUAAAAAAAAAUGGUGGGCCCCAUGCUUAUUUUCUAGAGAGAGAAGGUAAAACAAAUACCGUGGGAGGGUUAGUAUCUAGUAAAUUCCCAAGUGAUGGUAAUCCACAUUUGACAAAAAUACCCCCAAUAAAGCUGCUAUGCAAUCAUUAAAUUUGUUUGAUAUCUUUCCAAAUUCACUCAAUAGAGAGAUUUUGCAAAAAAAUUAAGAUGGGAAUGACAUUAUGCAAAGGGCUAUAUAAUGAUAAUCAUUAUAUUAAACUGAUGGAGAUGACAAUGCUAUAUUGGAAGGUAUAUUGGUAAAUUUUACCAUAUUACCAUAUAGCAUUAUCUCCAACCAAACACAGUAAUCUUUUUCCCAUGUCAUUUUUCGGAGUAAUUUUUCCAUCAACCAAACAUAGUAAAAGUUAUUUUCCUCUAUAAACAUUUUUUCAGAUAAAUGAUUCCUAGGAAUCGUUGAAAUACCCCAUAAUCUGGAACACCCCAACCAAACGGACCCUUAGCUUUUCUAGAAAGUUUUCAAGUCAUGGGUUGGCUACUUAGUUUAUCAGUAAUUGACUGCUUAUUCGAUUUUCUUUAUUCUUGUAGCACGUCUUUAUGAGUCUAUAAAUAUGUAGUGCCCUAGGAGUCACCUAUCGAAGCAAUCAAUUCAAUAAAACUGGUUUAGAAGGAUUUUGGAGGUCCUAAUUCCCUUGAAAUGAUCAAUUAUCCCUUCUUUUUCUAUUUUUAUUUUUCUUUCCUUUUAUUCAUAAUACAACUAGUAGGGACCUAAGGUCCUGUUAAGCUGAUAGUCCCCAUGCACAUCUCAAGUCUAUGCCACAACUAUUAAAAAUCCUCACCAAAUUAUGGAUGAUCCACAGUCACAGCUUGAUACUAGACAUGAAGCAACGCUGAAGGCAGAGUUUGAUCAAAAGCUCAGUCAAUUUAAGGACAUCCUUCUGUCAACUCUUCAUGCCACAGUUAUUCGAGCCUUUGAGCAAUCCUCAAGAAUUGCUAGAAACCAGCUUCAACAUUAACCACUACUAUUAAAAAGCAACUUUAAGGAUAAAAGGAAGAUUUGCAAGACCAAAACCCUGAUAAGAAGGAAACUAAAACAAUAGCAUCAAAUGAAGAGUAAAAGAAUCUCAUGCAUAUACAUGUAACUCAAUUAACACAAAGAUGGUGAUUCUUCAAGAGGGAUGUCACAAGCAUACAAGUAUGAAUCACAUAUAAGAAAAUGCUCAUUGAGGAUCUUAUUGAUCAGUUUGGGUUCUACAGUAUAAAUAUGUGCAUAGCAAAUUAGCUAAUACUCACUAAACGAUAGAAUUUCUGGUCAACAUGUUAGUAACAAAAUACCAUCAUGAUAUCCAUCAUGAAGUAAAGACUUGUAAAUCUUGUGCUAGGAUGGUGACAAUCUCAGCUACAAGACUAACAGAGUAGGUCUUUAAUUAGAAUGAUUAACAGAGUAGGUCUUUAAUAAGAAUGACUAACAGAGUAGACCUUUAGUAGGACUUGUAAAUCUUGUGCUAGGAUGGUGACAAUUUCAGCUGCAAGACUAAUAGAGUAGGCCUUUAAUCAGAAUGAUGGUUGUGAUCAAGGUUCACAAAACUAGUACCCCGAGCCAUAUCGAUCUAGUACCAAGUCAAUAGGGUACCACAUCAUGCCAGUAUCAAUCAAAUGCCGAGGCACCCAAUCUAAAGUUUUGCCAAAUAUCUAGAGCAAGAAGGGAGGGAAGGAAAGGGUUCCACAACCUAUUGGCGACAACUGGAAAUGGUGGUGGUGGAGCCUAUGCUUGCCAUGAGCCCACAAGCAUCAAAUUUGGGCUGUCAGAUGGGGGUCUUGGGGUGGAUCACUAGCAAAGUGAAAGUAGAACGCUAUGAGGAAGUCUUGAAGGUUAUCGCUGAGAAGUUUGAAGGUGGAGUCUUUUGCCGUUGGCGAGAAAUCCAGUGGUGAGAGCAAGAGAGAGAAGAGAGGAAAGAAAGAACGGAUCAACGGGGGGAUGAAAGGGUUUUAUAAACCAUGAUUGGUUCAACCUAGCCAAACCAAGUCAAUACCACCCAAACUGGGCAGAACUAAGCAGCUUCACUUCGGAUUGGUUUUGACAUGUUUUUGUGUUGCCCCGAACAGACAUGUGAAACUGACCCAGUUCUGUACUAGCUCAAACAAUAUGCCUUGAACUACGUGAUUUGGAUCAGUUUCACAUACCUUGGUCAAGAUGCACUAGGAGAAGAUUCAUCUUGGAGGACAAGGUUGUUUUAGAGGGAGAAGGAAUGAAUCUCUUUUUUUAUGGUCUCCUAAUUUAGGGUUCAUCUGCGGUAGAAGUUUUUCAAGAUUCCAAAUCCAUUGAAGAUGGGUUAUCUAAUGUUUCCUGUUUUAUUUUUCCUUUUCUAGUAAGUUCAUGGGCCAUGGGUUGGCUAAUUAGUUUAGGAGUAAUUAAUGUAGGACAACUAAUUAAUGUAGUGUCCAAUGACAAGUUAAUGAAAUUGCCCUAAAAGAUUCUACAGUUCCCAUCACACUCGAAGUGAUCAAAUAUCCCUUCUUUUUCCACCUUUGAAUUUCUUUCUUUUUGCUCAUAAUACUAUCAAUAGAGACCUAUGACCAUGGUUCACCAAACCGUCAAAACCAGACGGCUCGGGGCAUGCAGAACCGUACCGGCAGCUAACCGGUGCAAUUUAGGUGUUCGAUUCGGAACAUCGACGAAAACAGAAGAGGAAGAAGGAAAGAGAGGAAGAGAGAGAGAAAAGGGAAGAAAAGAGAAGGAAAAGAAAAGGCUAGCAGUGGCUAGUGGUGGCCCACUGAGGCCUCUAGGGCUCCUGAUCCUCUGCGAGAUGUGAGAAGAGAAAGAAAGGAGAGGAAAUGAAGUGGCGAAAGGCGGCAGGGAGGCCGUUGGAGGGCCGCUAAGUGACCGCCAAAUGGCUCAAAACAGCCGGGUGGCCGCCACAAGUUCAAAACAAGGGUUCAUCCCUAUUUUAUCGUAUUUUUUAAAAAACAUGAUACACGAUAAGGCCGGCAAUCGGUGGCCACCCGACGGCCUCCAUGCCGCCUUCCACUCCCUCGUGUUCCGCUUCUUUCUCCUCUCUCUAUCUCUCUCCACUUUAUUUUCUCUCGCAGAAGACCGCGGAGCCUAGGAGACCUUGGUGGACCUCUGGCAGCUGCGGUCCUCAGAUGGCCACCGCCGACGUCUCCACUGGCCUCCCUUUCCUUCUCUCUCUCUCCCUCCCUUCCCCCCUCUCUCUUUCUCUCUCUUUUCCUCCCCAGUUCAUCCAUCAUUUCCGUGUCCGUUCGAGUACGAUACAAUUCGAUAUGGGAGCAUACCAACUCGUAUAGCCGACUGGCCGGCAUGGGAUCCAGUUUCGAAUUGUCGAUCCUUGCCUAUGAUCAUGUCAUUAAAUCCAACUAAGAAUUUUGCAGUUUAUACCUAGCAUUGCUCAAGAUUUUUGAAAUGGUUUGACCUAAAUAGCGGAAAUGAGAAGGCUCCCAACCCAAACAACUUCAACCAAGAUUCAGCCUGGUAAAUGUCCUUUAACCCCUGCAGAGCAAGAAAGUACUUGAGCCUAUCUCUCAAACCAAUCUCUAUAUUGUACCUAUAAAUCUCACUAAUAUUUUCCCAUCAAGAAAAGGGAGAACUAAAUUAACCAUCUAGAAAAAUGAUAAUAUGACCCUUAAUUACAGCUAUAAACCAAGUUCCCAUCUAACAUGUGGCAAAAGCCUCAUCACUGACCAUAAAUCCAAGCAGCUAUCCCCUCUUUCCUAAAGAUGGUUCCAUUAUGAUGAGAUAGUAAGUACUCAGCAUUCUGUGAGUUGAUCAAUAAUCCAUUAAAGCUAUUAAUCAUUGUUGCCAAAACUAAAAUAACUGUGCAGCUGAGACUAAAUAGAACAUGAGGCCAGCAUUACCUUUAACAAACUCUGUGUCCAUGGCAACAGCACCUCUUCCUUCUGCAUGCAGCUGUGAUUAGCAGAUAGAAAGAGGAGCACAAAGUAGAAAUUAAGCAUAAGUCCAUGAUAUAUAAUUAGCUAAAAAUGUAGUGCUGUUAGCAACCAAAUCCAAGAAGAUUUAAAAAGAUAAUGCAAUUCAAAGACCAUUUUCAGCAAGUUUGAGCUUAACUAUCGAGAACCAUACCA
rnacentral:lncRNA from 1 species